GUGCUCCUACGGGGGGCAGCAGUGGGGAAUAUUGGGCAAUGGGCGCAAGCCUGACCCAGCAACGCCGCGUGAAGGAAGAAGGCUUUCGGGUUGUAAACUUCUUUUAAGAGGGAAGAGCAGAAGACGGUACCUCUUGAAUAAGCCACGGCUAACUACGUGCCAGCAGCCGCGGUAAUACGUAGGUGGCAAGCGUUGUCCGGAUUUACUGGGUGUAAAGGGAGCGCAGGCGGGAAGCCAAGUCAGCUGUGAAAACUACGGGCUUAACUUGUAGACUGCAGUUGAAACUGGUUUUCUUGAGUGAAGUG
rnacentral:rRNA from 1 species